rnacentral:rRNA from 1 species
AGAGUUUGAUCAUGGCUCAGAUUGAACGCUGGCGGCAGGCCUAACACAUGCAAGUCGAACGGUAACAGGAAGCAGCUUGCUGCUUCGCUGACGAGUGGCGGACGGGUGAGUAAUGUCUGGGAAGCUGCCUGAUGGAGGGGGAUAACUACUGGAAACGGUAGCUAAUACCGCAUAAUGUCGCAAGACCAAAGAGGGGGACCUUCGGGCCUCUUGCCAUCGGAUGUGCCCAGAUGGGAUUAGCUUGUUGGUGGGGUAACGGCUCACCAAGGCGACGAUCCCUAGCUGGUCUGAGAGGAUGACCAGCCACACUGGAACUGAGACACGGUCCAGACUCCUACGGGAGGCAGCAGUGGGGAAUAUUGCACAAUGGGCGCAAGCCUGAUGCAGCCAUGCCGCGUGUAUGAAGAAGGCCUUCGGGUUGUAAAGUACUUUCAGCGGGGAGGAAGGGAGUAAAGUUAAUACCUUUGCUCAUUGACGUUACCCGCAGAAGAAGCACCGGCUAACUCCGUGCCAGCAGCCGCGGUAAUACGGAGGGUGCAAGCGUUAAUCGGAAUUACUGGGCGUAAAGCGCACGCAGGCGGUUUGUUAAGUCAGAUGUGAAAUCCCCGGGCUCAACCUGGGAACUGCAUCUGAUACUGGCAAGCUUGAGUCUCGUAGAGGGGGGUAGAAUUCCAGGUGUAGCGGUGAAAUGCGUAGAGAUCUGGAGGAAUACCGGUGGCGAAGGCGGCCCCCUGGACGAAGACUGACGCUCAGGUGCGAAAGCGUGGGGAGCAAACAGGAUUAGAUACCCUGGUAGUCCACGCCGUAAACGAUGUCGACUUGGAGGUUGUGCCCUUGAGGCGUGGCUUCCGGAGCUAACGCGUUAAGUCGACCGCCUGGGGAGUACGGCCGCAAGGUUAAAACUCAAAUGAAUUGACGGGGGCCCGCACAAGCGGUGGAGCAUGUGGUUUAAUUCGAUGCAACGCGAAGAACCUUACCUGGUCUUGACAUCCACGGAAGUUUUCAGAGAUGAGAAUGUGCCUUCGGGAACCGUGAGACAGGUGCUGCAUGGUUGUCGUCAGCUCGUGUUGUGAAAUGUUGGGUUAAGUCCCGCAACGAGCGCAACCCUUAUGCUUUGUUGCCAGCGGUCCGGCCGGGAACUCAAAGGAGACUGCCAGUGAUAAACUGGAGGAAGGUGGGGAUGACGUCAAGUCAUCAUGGCCCUUACGACCAGGGCUACACACGCGCUACAAUGGCGCAUACAAAGAGAAGCGACCUCGCGAGAGCAAGCGGACCUCAUAAAGUGCGUCGUAGUCCGGAUUGGAGUCUGCAACUCGACUCCAUGAAGUCGGAAUCGCUAGUAAUCGUGGAUCAGAAUGCCACGGUGAAUACGUUCCCGGGCCUUGUACACACCGCCCGUCACACCAUGGGAGUGGGUUGCAAAAGAAGUAGGUAGCUUAACCUUCGGGAGGGCGCUUACCACUUUGUGAUUCAUGACUGGGGUGAAGUCGAAACAAGGUAACCGUAGGGGAACCUGCGGUUG